CCUACGGGAGGCAGCAGUGGGGAAUAUUGCACAAUGGGGGAAACCCUGAUGCAGCGACGCCGCGUGAGUGAAGAAGUAUUUCGGUAUGGAAAGCUCUAUCAGUAGGGGAGAAAAUUACGGUACGUGAUUAAGUAGCCCCGUCUAACUACGUGCCGGCAGCGGCGGUAAUACGUAGGGGGCAGUCGUUAUCCGGAUUUACUGGGUGUAAAGGGGGCGUAGACGGUAGCACAAGUCAGGAGUGAAAGGCCGGGGCUUAACCCGGAAAUUGCGUUUGAAACUGUACAGCUAGAGUACAGGAGAGGUAGGUGGAAUGCUUGGUGUAGCGGUGAAAUGCAUAGAUAUCAGGAAGAACGCCGAUGGCGAAGGCGGCUUACUAAACUGUAACUGACAUUGAGGCUCGAAAGCGUGGGGAGCAAACAGGAUUAGAUACCCGAGUAGUC
rnacentral:rRNA from 1 species